AUAGUAUUUUUCUACGUUGUUACCUUCUUGCUGGACAUUCCCUUUGCUUAUUGUUAUGCAUUUCAUCUUUCCAGAUGUCAAAUAUUUUGGUGGUUCAGUUUUCAAGAGAAAGCAGUUCUGGGCUUUUACAAUUGCAGAGAGAGUUUAGUUUGAUAUCUUUUAGAUUUAUCUUCUUUGUAGACAUUCCCUGUUCUUAUCGUUAUAGUACUUCUCAAUUUCUAGUGUCUGAGCAAUGGCUGGUGCUCAAUCAACCUUCAGUGGAAGCCAGUUUCAGUUUGAUGCUUGGCUAUCUCUACUUUGUUUCAUCAGUUCCUUCUUUUACAUGGAUAUUGUGUUUGACAUCACCCUACGAGAGAAGAUACGAUCAUACAAAAUAAAUUUGAUUAUGUUAAACGCGGAGAUUGAGGUGGCUAUCUUUGUCUGGUUGUUGGACAGGAUUAGGAACCAAUCUUUAAUACUGGCCUUGACUUAUUUCACUUGGAGCUUGAGUCUCUUUGCGCAUGCUGAUCAAUAUACUCUUCAUUGUUCAGUCUCUCUGCCAUUACCAAGAUGAAGAUGAAGUGAGUUGUUGCCACUGUGAUUAGCACUAGUAUUGAGGUUUGAGAUUGUUGCCACUGUGAUUAGCACUAGUAUUGAGGUUUGAGAUCAUUUGAGAUGUGAUUAGUAGCGCUGUUGAAUCAGGAUAUCAAGAGCCAGUAAGACCUUCGUAGUUGCAUUGAAAGGGAGAGUUUAUGUACUGGUGAUUAUGAGAGAUACCUUUUUCCUGCACCAGGUUAGCAAAAGGUGUGUUGUAGAAAGAAAGUAGUUGUGGCUGCGAGGACGGUCCCUGUUGGAGUUGACUGUGGUUGAUGUGGCUUGGUAGACUUGAUACACAAGGGGGCCUCCUCUAUCACACCAAAAUCCAGAGGAUCCAUCUAUAUCGUGCCAGAAAUGAUUGUCAUUCCUUUGAUUGGCAAUGUGAACCUUGUUAGCCCUCGGCUACGUGCCAUCAGUAUUGACACCAAUCGCCUUGGCCCACUCCAGCCUCGAUUCAGCAAGGCCGCAACAUCAUGAGUAUUUAAGGCUCAAACCCUGAGGCAUGGACAGCAUGACCGAAUCAUACUCUGAUAGGCUUUAACGCUUAUCAAGAAAGUAUCUCACAAUUUGUGUAAAGAAGAAUAACGAAGCCCUAGUUGCUCCAACUAUGGGCUUCUUGAGUUUCAAGAAAAAAUACUUUAUUUCUUUAUUCUUGAAUGAUUUUUUUGACUCUCUAAUGGAUUCUUUAUAUAGAA